UGGGGAAUUGUUCGCAAUGGGCGCAAGCCUGACGACGCAACGCCGCGUGGAGGAUGAAGAUUUUCGGAUCGUAAACUCCUUUCGAUCGGGACGAAUCGGUCGCGACCUAACACGUCGCGGCACUGACGGUACCGAGAGAAGAAGCCCCGGCUAACUCCGUG
rnacentral:rRNA from 1 species